rnacentral:rRNA from 1 species
UACGUAGGGUGCGAGCGUUGUCCGGAAUUAUUGGGCGUAAAGAGCUCGUAGGCGGUCUGUCGCGUCGAUCGUGAAAACCCGCGGCUUAACUGCGGGCUUGCGGUUGAUACGGGCGGGCUAGAGUUCGGUAGGGGAGACUGGAAUUCCUGGUGUAGCGGUGGAAUGCGCAGAUAUCAGGAGGAACACCGGUGGCGAAGGCGGGUCUCUGGGCCGAUACUGACGCUGAGGAGCGAAAGCGUGGGGAGCGAACAGG